rnacentral:lncRNA from 1 species
UUGCGAGACAAGACUACGUCCAUACAUAGUGAUAUUAGCAAGGUAAAUGAGAAACAUAGCAAUCACUCCCCUGUAAUAAUGUUGCUCUGCCAUCCCAAUACACAAGAGGGGGACUAUAUAAGAAUCAAUGAAGCUAUCACUAUCACGAACUACCCCGCGAUCUAGCAUAUUGGGUACAAUCGCAGAUAAAUACGGUAUAAGCACCACGCCUACACAAUAUCUAUCAUUUACCCAUGGAUCCGAUGGAUAAACGCUAUACGAUCCUAAACAUGUAUAUAGAUCCAAUCUAACUAAGCCAAGUAUAUAACUAUGAUAAACUAAGAACAAUAUAAUCUUGAAUAUAAGCAAGUAGAGCAAAGUCAUAAGCAAUAUAUUGAAGUAGAACACAGUCAUAUUCAUAAUAUUGAAGAACAAAGAUGAUUAGAAGAACAAUUAGAAGCACAAUUAGAGAAUUACCAAGAAUUCUCUUGACAGAUCCGGAAACCAAUCGAAGAUUGACUCCUUCUAGUUCUAAUCCUAUGUAGCUAUGCUAAUCUAGAUGUCUAAUUGAUGUGGUGGCUCUAAUCUUGAUCUGGGGCUUCUUCUCCCUUGAGAAUAAUGAAUUAGGGUUGAGAGGCUCUCUCCUCCAGGGGCCAGGAGGUCUAGUUUCAUAGUCCCUUCAAGUGAAUAUGGGCCGUUGGAUCAAACAGACAUUGAUUGAACGGUUUUCCUUGAUCCUUUAGGUCGGUGGAGAUCUUCCCCGAAAGAGAGUCCUGUUUGGACUCCAACAGGGGGCGGGCGCCCAGUGCCUGGCCCCGUUCGGCCUCCGCUUCUUUCCCGUGGCUUCUGGAGUCUUCUAGGUGUAAGAUAAUUGCGCGGCACGUUGAUAUCUCUUUGUAAUCCCGACGUGUGGGCCUUUCUUCCAUAUUUCCUGAUAACCCCCUGCAGAAAUAGACAAACACCAAAACUCAUGGAAUUCUAUCAGAUAAAACCCUAAGUCUAGAUGUUGAUUUCAUUUGGAUCCUUUUCUUUGUUUAUUUGAUAAUUAAAUUGGAUACUUAAGGACCGUCAACAAACUCCCCCAAGCUUACCUCUUGCUUGUCCCUGAGCAAGGAUAGAUUAGAAGUUGCUGCAAUACUUUUAAAAAUUGAUGGUACACAUGCUUCUAAAUAAGAUCUCAUCUCCAAGUUAGAGUAAACUGUCAAGACUUAAAACUUAUUCAUUUUACCUUUCACCAUGGGACUUGUAACCGUCACUUCCGUCUUGAGUAGUUAAAAGAUAAAACAGUCUAGUCAAGUGCCAUGUCUCUUAUUCUUGAUCAGCUAUAACUCUGAAGUUUUUGCAGAUUUUCAAAUCAAACUCAGAGAUUCCUUGUAUGACUCUCACAGAUCUCUCUUUUGUGGUAUUUCUGGAUCCUUACCAAGGCAGCGAUGGUAUAUGCCUUCUCUCAAGAUAUAUGGUAUUUGUGGUAUAAGGCAUAGUAACAUUGCCUUCUCUCUCACCCUACUCUAAUAAGGCUUUAAUAUCUGGAGCUCAUAGGUGGGAGAUAAAAUAUACAUACUUACAAGACAUUUAUUGUAUAGUCAAACCAUGGAUCCAAAGAAACAAAUCAAUAAGUCAAAUCAAGAUGUGCAUGUGUGGCGAAUGAAUGGUGUAUGGUGAUGAUGGUGAUAACAAUGGUGAAAGUCUAAUUCUACUUUUGCUUUUGAGAGGAUACAUACCUUUCUUGCUUUUUGAAAUUUUGUGAGGAGAAUGAGAUGCUCUUCUUUUUUUCUUUCUCUUAGGUGGGUAUCUUGUACCCCUAAUUCUACUGUCAGACAGUUGUCCAUUUUUACCUCUUGUCUCACUCUCUCUUUUCUUUCGAGGUUCCGGGCACUUGCCCCUUUUUAUUUCCUCGUAUCUUUUUUUCUUUUUUUUUCUCUUCUUUUUUUUAGAGCACUCAUCUCAUAAGAUAAUAUAGCAAGUGGUAGUAACAAGAUAACUUGAGCAUUUAUUUCACAGGGGAAAAACAGAAAUAUUUUUGGUUAUUCCCUCCCAGAUUAGGAGUAGAAUAUUUUUGGGUGGUUCUGGAGAUGGAAAUAAGUGGAUAUAUGUGGUUGGUACUUCCGGAGUAGAAGUAGCAUGUAUGAGUGAACGUGCAAGUGAAUCUUGAUUUAACCACAUGACAAGCUCCUAGUGGUCUACACAGCUUGACCACACUCAAUGCUCAUAAGCAGUAAAAGUAAAUGUGUGGCUCAAAGUCUAACAAGCAUGUAUAUAUGGCUGUGGUAGGAAUUUAAACUCUCAUCAUAUAGGAACUCAUCAUGUGAUAUUUUAAAGAUUUUAAAAGAUAAAAUUAUCCAGAAUUCUAGCAUCUCUAGGAAGAGAUAAACAGCAGCUCAACCUUCCCAUAUCAUAUCCGUUAACAACUUAGACUUCAGAUCAAGUUUUCAUCCCACAAGUUUAGGUUUAGAGCAAGCUUUAAAUUAUAACAGUUAUGUCUAACCUAGUGAGAGAAUUCAAAUUUGCAAAUUAAGCAGAGCAACUAUUCAUCAUAUCCAUGCUAGAGUUUUAUUUAUUAGAAUCCAGUUUAGCAUAGACACUUUAUUUAUUUAUUAAACACACUAAGCAAAAGAUAUAUAUAUAUAUAUAUAUAAGCAUAAAAUCUUCAUUUAGUUUUUUCUGGUUUAUGUUUAUUUAUAUUUUAAUAUAAUAUAAGUAUAAAGAUAGAUAGAUAGAAAUACUUAUCGAGAUAAAUGGGGGUGCUCUCCCCCAAGCUAAAUUUUGACGUAAUUUCUCUUGAUGUAACUAGCAGGUGGCAGAGGUGUAUUUGAAAGUCAGCAGCAUUCUGACAGCGAUUAGAAUGUCCUCCAUCUGCUAGUCUUCUUAAUUCUUAAAUUCUGUGGAGCUCAAAUAGACAACAAAGCUUGUGGAACUGAUUAAGUGUUAACAUAAAUAUCUAGCCUUCAUCAUGUUGAGCCUCCUCGAUAAAUGUUACUCCCUGUUUUUAUAUUUUUAUUUUAUAAAGGAGAAAAGAAAUAUUUAUUUUAUUUUUAUGCCACCACAGUGAAUGUACUUAUGGGUUGCAUGCCACUCGUAUACUCACAUGGGGCUUACUGUUUUUUAACAUUUUUAUUUUCUUUUUAGGAUAGUACAAAUGUAACUAAUUAAGUAAACUAUUUGAAAUAAUUGAAAGGGAAAGGAAAACUACGAAGUUUACCUCUUGGCAAGGCGUUCGGUGUUUUUAAGUUCUCCGAACGGGACUCUCCAUUUUCUUCAAUUGUCUUGGGAUUCGUUGGGUGGCGUAGUCGGUACUUCUGACAGCGCCUCCUCUUCAUGUAUAGUUAUCUUCUCUCUCCACACCUGACUCGGUACUUCGGUCUCCUCAGGAUAAUUCUAUUUAAACUGUAUGUCUUCUGACCUUACAACUUCUCCUUCAUAGUGUGCCCAUCCGUCCUUGAUGAUUUGCCUCCCCUAGUUGCGGUUGCGUCGUUUUCUGACCUGCUUAGAGUCUUCAAAGAUGUAGUUAGGGUCAGUAAAAUAGCGGCGUACCUUCUCUGAGGGGAAGUGCAUAUAGACUUCUCUAGUUCCAAUGUAGAUAAUUGCUUUAACGGUGUUGAGGAACGGUCUUCCAUGGAUGAUGGGUGGAACGUAUUCGUCUUCUCCCAUGUCAAUAGCUUGAAAGUCUGUGUAGACAAAAUGAUCGUCUAUUUUGACUGGGACAUCAGUUACUGUUUCUUUAACUUCUCGAAAUGUCUGAUCUACCAUCUGGAGCUGAAUGUAUGUUGGUUUUAGGGGCAUGGUUCCGAACAAGAGCCGAUAGGUGACUGUGGCCAUUAUGUUGACGCCCGAUCCGGUGUCGCAAAUCGUUUUGUAGAAGUUGUAUCCAUUUAUGGAGCAAUAGAUGCUUGGCAUUCCUGGGUCAUCCUUCUUGGUCAGAAAUGGUGACUUAAGUUGAUGAUCUUGACCUCCAUGAAUUGCAGUGACCAUCUUAGCUGACUCGGUCCACACUUGCUUGUUCCUGUUCCUCCUGUUGGUCCUCUUCCUUGAUUCACGUCUGGAUUGAUCUGGGAUUUGUAUAGUCUUGUUCUUGAAUAAAAACGUCUCCUUCCUCCCUUUGAUGUAGAAACUGAUCUUGGCAGCACUAGCGUAGAUGACAGCUCCCGAGGUGUUUAAGAAUGGCCUCCCUAAGAUGAUGGGUGCCUUCUCAUCAUUACCGAUCUCUAUCACCACGAAGUCUGCUAGGGCGUACAAGGUACCAACUCGGACACAAAGAUUCUUCAAUAUUCCCUUUGAGAAAGUUAAUGCCUAAUCUGGAAACUGCAAACACAUGGUUGUUUCUAAUAAAGGAUAUGUAAAGAAUUUUUCAUAGAGUACCCUAGGUAUAAUGUUGACACUAGAGCCAAAGUCGCAGAGUGCUUCUGGGACGUUCACCAUGCCGAUGGAGAUUGGGAUGACGGGGCGUCCUGUAUCACCUCUCUUGACCGGCAGAAGGUCAGUAGUAACUUCAGUGACGGGGUUACUCUAGUUAUUACCUGCAUCAAACAUGUCUACAAGAUUUGCAGAUUUUAAUCCUCCCGGUUGUGAUGGUAUAUCGGGGUUAGUAGUAGGAAUAGCAACAGCUAUUUGAUUUAACUGAGAUUCAAUCAAUUUAUUAAAGCUAUUUUGAUUCUUGAUGGCAGUAGAGAAAUUAUCCAUUCUAUUAUUUAUAUUUUCUAACAUUUUAUCAUUAGAUGCCAAUUUAUUAGAUAGGUUAUCCAUUAGCUUUUCUUGAUUAGACACUAACUCUCUUAGAGGUGGAAAAUUAUUAUUAUUGUUGUAAGAAUUGUUACCUUGAUAAUCACCUAAGUAGUUAGGCCUUUGUUGAUUGCAACCUUGAUUUUGUUGAGGACGGUUGUAGUAGUUGUUGUUGUUAUUGUUGAUGUGGUUCACAUCCUCAAGCAUCUCAGGGCAGUAAUUGCCUGAGUGUCCAGUAUCUCCACACUCCUCACAAGUCAUGUGAGAGUCGUAGAUGUGCAUAACUUCUUUCUUAUCUCUAGCUCUAUCAUCGAGCUUCUUCAUGAGCAGAUAGCAUGUCUACCUCCUUGAGCUGAUGCAUACCUCCACCUCUCUUGCGUGUCUGGGUCCUCUCUUCAUUCCAGCCUUGAUUGGACACCAUCUUCUCCACAAGAGCUGUGGCUUGUGGUAUGGUGAGUGAUAAGAAUGCUCCUCCAGCUGCAGCAUCCAUGGUUUCUCGGGCACUGUUGCUGAGCCCAUGAUAAAACAUCUGCAUCAGUAGCCAACUCUCCAUUCCAUGAUGGGGACAUUCUCGGAUGUAGUCUUGGAAGCGCUCCCAUGCUUCUGGAACAGAUUCAUCAUGUUGUUGCUGAAAACUUGUAAUCUUCCCACGGAGAGCAUUGGUCUUGCCCAUGGGAAAGAACUUAGCCAGAAAAUUCGUGGACCAGAGUGCCCACGUAGUAUUCUUCUCCUUUGUAGCGUAAAACCACUGCUUCGCUCUUCCUAACAGUGAGAAUGUGAAGAGGCGAAGUAGUAUAGCAUCUCUGGGGAUUCCUGAUAUGGUGAAUGUGCUACAAAUCUCCAGGAAAUGUUGGAGAUGAGCACUAGCAUCUUCGUGUGCCUUCUCACAGAACUGGUUAGAUUGCACAAUGUUGAUAAGUCCAGGCUUGAGCUCAAAGUUACCAUCGAUCUCUGCAGUAGGUCCAGUGCGGAUGUUGUCCGUAGUGGGAGCUGAGAACUCGCGGAUUGAUUUGUUCGCCAUGGCUUCGAAUUCUGAAGUCAAGUUCCGGUGAUCUUCUGAUUGGAUGAAGCUUCUUGCUGAAGUGUUGAUGAUCUCCUCUUGAGCUUGGCUCUUGUUUUUCUGAAUAAGGCUUUGGGAUUGUCAACAAAUUUUCUGGAAGAUGUCUUCUAUUCAUACAUUCCCCUGCACAAGAUAUAAAUAGAAAAAUAUCGGGGUAAAACUGUAUGAGAGAAUAGAUAAGCUCAAUCAUAUUAGUGAUGCGAAUGAUGACUCAAAAUCCUAUAUUCCAUUCUUGAUUAGUAAUCAACCUUCCCCGGCAACGGCGCCAAAAAUGCUUGUUGGGUAUUCUUAACAUCAUUAACAAAAGUAGACUAAGUUUCCAAAUCUGAUAACAGUGCCAAAAAUGCCAAACCUAUCCCUCAUACCACUUAAGCCAAGUUGUCAUCCCCAGCAUGACAUGAGAGACGCGGUAUUGAAAUAUGCAAUUGCUCUUCUAAAUAAAUAAUGAAUGGGAUCUGCAAGCGCACAGAUUAAUACCGAUGUAGCAUUUUAACCGGGAAGUAUUCCAGGUAUCGUUAUUUAUAUUUUUACCACUGGGAAGGGAUUAGCAAUCAUCAAUAUUGAUUACAGAAUAGAAUAUGAGAUUGAGCAUCUAUCAUUGCAUGUAUAAUUGAGAACAUUGUAUCUAACUCUUUCAUACAGGGAUAAGUGUCACAUAAAAGAUAUAUGAAGUAAUGAAUAGUGACAAAGAUAAUUAAUCUGAUCAGCAUAACUUAGCCACAUAAUAAAUAUGAUAAGCACCUCAAUUAGAUACUCUAGAAAGUCAUUAGCAUGGAAUUAGAACGAACUACAAGAAUAUUUCCUAAGUUAUUCUCAACUAUAUAGUCUAGCAUUAUCAUAGUUAGUGCAAGCAUACUUAGCAAUCAUUGCGAGACAAGACUACGUCCAUGCAUAGUGAUAUUAGCAAGGUAAAUGAGAAACAUAGCAUUCACUCCCAUGUAAUAAUGUUGCUCUGCCAGCCCAAUACACGAGAGGGGGACUAUAUAAGAAUCAAUGAAGUUGUCACUAUCACGAACUACCCCUCGGUCUGGCAUAUUGGGUACAAUCGCAGAUAAAUACGGUAUAAGCACCACGCCUACACAAUAUCUAUCAUUUACCCAUGGAUCCGAUGGAUAAACGCUGUACAAUCCUAAACAUGUAUAUAGAUCCAAUCUAACUAAGCCAAGUAUAUAACUAUGAUAAACUAAGAACAAUAUAAUCUUUAAUAUAAGCAAGUAGAGCAAAGUCAUAAGCAAUAUGUUGAAGUAGAACAAAGUCAUAUUCAUAAUAUUGAAGAACAAAGAUGAUUAGAAGAACAAUUAGAAGCACAAUUAGGGAAUUACCAAGAAUCCUCUUAACAGAUCUGGAAACCAAUCGAAGAUUGACUCCUUCUAGUUCUAAUCCUAUGUAGCUAUGCUAAUCUACAUGUCUAAUUGAUGUGGUGGCUCUAAUCUUGAUCAGGGGCUUCUUCUCCCUUGAGAAUAAUGAAUUAGGGUUGAGAGGCUCUCUUCUCCAGGGGCCAGGGGGUCUGGUUUUAUAGUCCCUUCAAGUGAAUAUGGGCCGUUGGAUCAAACCGACAUUGAUUGAAUGGUUUUCCUUGAUCCUUUAGGUCGGUGGAGAUCUUCCCCGAAAGAGAGUCCUGUUUGGACUCCAACAGGGGGCGGGCGCCCAGUGCCUGGCCCCAUUCGGCCUCCGCUUCCUUCCCGUGGCUUCUGGAGUCUUCUAGAUGUAAGAUAAUUGUUCGGCACGUUGAUAUCUCUAUGUAAUCCCGACGUGUGGGCCUUUCUUCCGUAUUUCCUGAUACCCCCCUGUAGAAAUAGACAAACACCAAAACUCGUGGAAUUCUGUCAGAUAAAACCCAAAGUCUAGAUGUUGAUUUCAUUUGGAUCCUUUUCUUUGUUUAUUUGAUAAUUAAAUUUGAUACUUAAGGACAGUCAACACACACCAACGGGACCAAGUUGGGUCAUGGGUAAGUAGCUAAAAUCUUAUCAUCAAUUUAAUAGGGGAAAUUUCAAUCUUGUGUACCAUCGCAUAGAUCAAUUUUAGUUCAUCAUCUUUUAUAGAGUCCGAAGAACUAGGAAAAAGAUUGGUAGUAAUCUAGAAAUAAUUAAGCACAAGGUUGGAUUGUGAAUUUUAGAGGUUAAGAGAGUGGAGCAAUCAUCAAAAUAUACUCUUGUUAAACCCAGCCAUGGUAGUGUCUAAGUCAACUGUACAAUCAAAGUCACAACCUAGAGCAAUGAUUAGAAGACCCCAAGUACAGCUACACUCUUGCCCACACAUGCGAAAUGUUAUGAGUCAUUUUUAGUGUGCAAAAUUCUUUAGUGAGCACUUCUAUACCAACUUUAAGGCACUCACCAAAAACCUCCGAAACCAAUGGUAUCAAAAUAUCAUUGAAUACUUUAGUCAUACCUGUGCGGUCCACAAGGGCCGGGUCGAGGAUGCUUGUAUGGCGGAAACCGCUCUCCUUUAGGUUGUUGAACUUGAUCAGCUCUUCUGGUGUUAAUAUGAGUUCAUUCUUCAGGCUCCAUUGCUCUUGGAGGAGGUUCAUAGAGCAGCACUUGAUGGUGACUCUCCCUUUCCUCCAUCCUCUCAUGGCUUCCAUCAUUAGAGUGAUGAGAGCUUUGAGAACAACUCUCACCCCCUUUGGACUUCUAGAAUCAGGAGACGAAUAUUUUUCCUGCACAACAUAGACAACCAAACCUUUCCCUACUUCUACUACUAUGCAAGACUAAAUAUUUUUUUUGGUUUUUUUUGAAAGGCAACUAUUCUAAUCUUGAGAAAUAACUUGCAACUAAGAAGAGAGAAGAGGGAUUGUGAGCUUGAGAUAAUUUUGGUGGUUUUGGGUGUGGAAUUGAGCUCACAAUGCAUGGGUAUUUAUUGGGGGAGAAGGGCAAGUGGUGAACACCCUAAUGUGGGGGUCGGUCGAGCUCCCCAUAAGCACUAUGUUUCAAAAAUUUGAAUCAUGGUAGGGAAUCUUGCAACAUAUAUGAACUCUUUUCUAGAGAUUGGCCAAUGUAGGGGUCGGCCGACCCAUACAAUAAGCACUUUAGCACUCUAAAUGAUGUGGCAUUAAGUGUCUACUAAAGUACAAGCUUAGGCGUCGACUAGAAGUAAAGUUCUUUUAUAAGAGUCCCUUGUCUAGUGAUAUGUGAAAGAGAAAAGAUGAUUUGCAAAAGUGGAGAUAUGCUUAAAGUGGUUGUCAGUGAUCAUGACAGCACUAGGGCAUGUCUAGGAGACCACUUUAUAGGUUUAAGCUAGUGCAUAGGUCCCAAAUGAACCAUUUCUUUUCGGACUUUGGCUUGUGUGUCAUGCAUGGGAUUCCAAAGCAAAGCAAAUGGGCGAUAGCACACUGCCAAAAGGGCAAGUCUUGGGGUCGACCGACCCUAACUUGAAAGCUCCAUGAGCAUCCAAGUGCUGACCUCGACACAUUGCAUCAAGCCAAAGUGAAAGACUACAAGUGGACCUGAUGGUGGGGUUGACCGACCCCACCUCUAGGUGAUCCACAGUUCAAAACUGUAUUGCUAGUUUUUCUCAAGAUUUUCAUUUAUUAUUCCUAAGCAUUUUGUCGAAGGGAAAUAUGCAAAACUAAACUAAGCAUGCAAUUGGAAGGGAAAUGCAAGAAUUGAAAUGCAAUGAGUAAAGAUGGGAUAAGUACUGAUUUACCUUAUCUACAAGGGCUCCAUGUUUUAGGUCCGUAGAGCAGGACCUUUCCAUCUUGUUUAUUGCUUGGGUGCUUGAGAUGGCCCUGGAGAUAUGGACCAAGAUUGCACCUCCUCUUGCCACACUUGCCUACCUUUGCCUUGAGGUUUCUGGAGGCAUGGUAUGGUUCUCCUUUAAGCACAAUGGCCUCCAUGGUGACCUCUGGUUUUGCAGCUAGUCUCCCUCAUGAUUGAAGGGGGCCUCACUGAUAGAAUUGAUGACAUUUGUGCUAGUGGGAACCACGUUAGGCUAGUCAAGGUAACUCGGGAGGCAUAUAGGGGGCUAGAAGGUGUUGAGUUUAAGACAAGGAGGAUUGGGAUGGAGAAGAAGAAGAGGGAAGGCCAAGGAAAGCUUUUGCCAAAGAUUACAAACUUGUUUUCACAAGAGUUGCAACUAGGAAUAGUUUCUAAGUGCUGACACGACACUCUGGGUCAGAUUGGGUUUCCCAACUAUGGGUCACCCGACCCCACCUCNNNNNNNNNNNNNNNNNNNNNNNNNNNNNNNNNNNNNNNNNNNNNNNNNNNNNNNNNNNNNNNNNNNNNNNNNNNNNNNNNNNNNNNNNNNNNNNNNNNNAUUAAAGAGUUGUAGAGAGCGACAGGCAGCCCGGGUUAAUGAUCAAAAUCAGUCCUCAUCUCACCUCGGUGGUACCAAAGUUCACACUUCUACCUCAACUCUCCCUUUCGUAGGACCACUUUCAAGAUACUUGCAUCCUAUCAAGUAGGGGUCGCCCGACCCCUAGUUUUGGGUACAGAGCAAGCAUGUUUGGGUCAUACACUUUUUCGAUGAUUAGAUGUGGUCUGGCCAAGUUUGAGCCAUAGUGGGUACUAAGUCUAGGUCGCCCGACCCCAGUUUGGAAGUUCUAGAGCAAAUAGGUUCUUGGUUUGUAAUUCCCCACAUGUCAUAGAUGGUUUGGCCAAACAUAGGCUUGGUUAGCUACUAAGAUGGGGUCGCCCGACCCCAUAAUGGAGGCUCCCCAAGACCAGUUUUUUCUUAAGGACUAGCAUAAGUGUAUUCAUGCUAUCCUAAAAGCCAAUCCACACAAAAUAUAUAAAAGAAGUUAAGACAUGUAGAUUUUAGUCUUGUUGAAUCUUUAGCAAGGAUGUGUUCUAGCAUGUCAACUUCUUCUAUCAAGGAACAAACUCCUAGAAAACUCUUAAGAAGGUGGCCACUUACCUCAAAGAUGAUGAGUCAUAGCAUUGGCCCUUCUUAGUUGCAUCGAAGUUCUCUUUGGCCAUGAAACUUGUCUUCGACCAGGAGGAUCCCAAGUUGUCUCCAUGAAUGAUCUCAUGACUUACCCAUAGAGAUAUCGAUGUUAUUGCUAAAGGGGUUAGUCCAAAAGUGCAACCAAGUUCCACGCAAGUAUCUUUGGUUCAAUAAUCAAACUUAACACCAUGUAUUGUUUGAUUAAGGUAGUCUAUUUAACCUAAGCACCAUGCUUAAUUUAAAAAGACUAUGGAGGUACUCACUCGAGCAAUUAGUAUAACCAAACCAAAGCAUACUAACAUAGAAAGUGGGAGCAUGAUAGGAUAAACAAGAUUCAUUAUACUAGAGACAAGAUAAUGAGUGAUGAAGACAAGAGGCAAAUAUUUUUUUCUUUUAUUAUUAUUAUUUUUUAAUUUUUAUAUGAAAGGCAAUGCAAAGUGAAGGUUGAAUGCAUUUAAACAAAUAUGUUGUUAAAAUCAAGAUUAAAAAAUGAGUGAUAUGCAUGAACAUCUAGGCUUUAGCUUUUUCCUGUGGCGUGGACCAUCCAAAUGACAUCAUCAUACCGACUAUUAAAGCCGAUAUAUGAGUCGGGAUGUUGUUGGGUAUUUUAAACGCAAACAGAAAUAUCCGCAAGCGCACGGAUACCGAUGUAGCUUUCACCCGGGAGUAUUCCAGAGUAUCGAUUUUCCACAGAGAGCGUGAGUGUACUAAUUAAGAUCCAAGAUCGCCCAAGGAUAACUAUAUAAUUAUUUUUGGUAGGAAGAGAGGAAGUUUCCUGAGAGUUCUCUAGUUGAUCUAAGAAUCAACAAUUACUUCAAGAUUGUCUAUAUCGGCACAUCAGAGCACUAACCAUAGAAAGAGAUGAGAAGGGGGCUACGAAGGUCUGACUACGGUCCUGCAAACACCGAUCUGAACGAGGUGGAAUACGUCGACCGUUAGGGCUGUCACUACCCUAAGGCUACCACAACAAUCCGCAGGAUUGGGUGCAAUUCCAGGUAAUUGCAAGACUAAACACCACGUCUAAUCUAUUAAUUACUACUAUAAUGUUUCAAAGAUUAGAGCAUUUGAUGCAAGCGGGAAUCCAAUAAAUAACUUGAAUAUAAAUAAAAGUAAUUAAAGAACUCAAGAAUUAUGAAUUGAAGAACUUGGAGAACGAUGAAGAACGAACCAGUUGCUGCAAAAGUACAACGUUGAGGAAGAUCUGACAGAUCCGGCUCCUCCUCCGCUCUCCUCUUCUCUCUCCCUAUUUUCUAGAUUACAACUAGAACUAACUAGAACUAGAACUAGAGGAACUAAAACUAGAACUAGAUCUAGAUGAACUAGAGGUAGAACUAGAAGAACUAGAGGGAUCCUCUCUACUUGAAUGAAGAAUUGAAACCCUAGCUAAGAUUCUGUAGAAGAGGUAUGAUCUCCAGGGGCUAGGGGGUCUGGUUUUAUAGUCCCUUCAAGUGAAUAUGGGCCGUUAGAUCGAACCGACAUUGAUUGAAUGGUUAUCCUUGAUCCUUUAGGUCGGUGGAGAUUGAUCCCGAAAGAGAGUCCUGUUUGGACUCUAAGAGGGGGCGGGCGCCCAGGUCAACUGGGUGGGCGCCCAGUGCGUGGCCCCGUUCGGCCUCCGCUUCCUUCCCGUGGCUUCUGGAGUCUUCUAGAUGGUAGAAAAUUGCGCGGCAUGUUAAUAUCUCUACGUAAACCCGACGUGUGGGCCUUUCUUCUAUAUUUCCUGAUAACCCCGUGUAGAAAUAGACAAACACCAAAACUCGUGGAAUUUGAUCAGAUAAAACCCUAAGUCUGGGUAUUGGUUGCAUUUGGAUCCUUUUCCAUGAUUACUUGAUGGUUAAAUGUGAGCAAUAAGGACCGUCAACAAGCUCCAUCAAGCUUAACCUUUGCUCGUCCCUGAGCAAAGAUGGACUCAAGAGUUUCUGCAGUGGUUUCAUGCCUUAAAGGUACACAUGCGUUCAAACAAGGUCUCAUCUCUGGGUUAGGGUGAACUGUUAAGAUUUAAACUUACUCAUUUUACCUUCCACCAUGGGGCUUGCAACCGUCACUUGUGUCUUGAGCAGUUAAAAGAUAGAACGGUCUAGUCAAGCACCAUGUCUCUUGUUCUUCGAUUAACUAUAGCUCUGGAGUUUUUGCAGAUUUUCAAAUAAAACUCAGAGAUUCCUUGUAUGACUCUCUCUAGUCUCUCUUUUGUGGUAUUUCUGGAUCCUUACCAAAGCAGUAAUGGUAUAUGCCUUCUCUCAAAGUAUGUGGUAUUUUUGGUAUGAGGCAUAGUGGCAUUGCCUUCUCUCUCACCCUGCUCUAAUAAGGUUUUGAUAUCUGGAGCUCAUAGGUGGGAGACAGCUAAUACAUACUUACAAGACAUUUAUUGCAUAGUCAAACCAUGGAUCCAGAAGAACAAGUCAAUAAGUCAAAUCAAGAUGUGCAUGUGUGGCGAAUGAAUGGUGUAUGGUGAUGAUGGUGAUAACAAUGGUGAAAGUCUAAUUCUACUUAUGCUCUUUUGAGGGGAUACAUACCUUUCUUGCUCUUUUGAAACUUUUUGAGGAGAAUGAGAUGCUCUAUAUUUUCUUUUUCCUUUCUCUCAGGUGGGUAUCUUGUACCCCUAAUUCUACUGUCGGACACUUGUCCAUUUUUACCUCUCGUCUCACUUUUUCUUUUCUUUCGAGGUUCCGGGCACGUGCCCCUUUUUAUUUCCUCGUAUCUCUUUUUUUUCUUUUUUUUUAGAGCACUCAUCUCUUGAAAAUAAUAUAGCAAGUAGUAGUAACCAAGAUAACUUGAGCAUUUAUUUCACAGGGAAAAACAGGAAUAUUUUUGGCUAUUCUCUCCCGGAUUGGGAGUAGAAUAUUUUUGGGUGGUUCUAGAGAUGGAAAUGGAUGGAUAUAUGUGGAUGCAUACUUCCGGAGUAGAAGCAGCAUGUAUGAGUGAACGUGCAAGUGAAUCUUGAUUUUAACCACAUGACAAGCUCCUAAGGGUCUACACAGCUUGACCACACUCAAUGCUCAUAAGCAGUAAAAAGUAAAUGUGUGGCUCAAAUUCUAGCAAGCAUGUAUAUAUGGCUGUGGUAGGAAUUUAAACUCUCAUCAUAUAGGAACUCAUCAUGUGAUAUUUUAAAGAUUGUCAAAGAUAAAAUUCUCUAGAAUUCUAGCAUCUCUCGGAAUAGAUAAACAACAGCUCAACCUUCCCAUAUCGUAUCCGUUAACGACUUAGACUUUAGAUCAAGUACUCUUCCCACAAGUUUAGGUUUAGAGCAAAACUUAAUUAAUAACAGUCAUGCCUAAACUUAAGAGAGAUUUCAAUUUUUAGAACUAAUCAUAGUAGAGCAACUAUUCAUCAUUUCCAUGUGAAAGCUUAUCAUGAGGGUUCAUAGCAAACUUUAUUUGGGUUUUUAUGAUUAUGCAUCUUUAUAUUAUUUGAGUAAAGUAUAAACAUGAGUAGAACACUUAGCUGGAUAAAUGGGGGUGCUCUCCCCCAAGCUGGAUUUUGACAUAAAUCCUUUUGAUGUAGCUAGCAGGUGGCAGAGCUGUAUUUGAAUGUCGGCAGCACCCUGACAGUGAGUAGGAUGUUCUCCAUCUGCUAGUCUUCUUUGAUCCUUGAAUUCUGUGGAGCUCAAAUAUACAACAAAGCUUUGUUGAACUGGUUAAGUGUUAGCAUAAAAUCUCUUAGCUGUUAUCAUGUUGAACUUCCUCUACUAAAUAUUAUUCUCUUUGGUAGGAUCAUAAAUUUAUUUUUAUAUUUUCAUUUUUAUAGGACAGGAAUAUAUUUAUUUUAUUUUUACGCCACCACAGUGAAUGUACUUAUGUGUUUUAUGCCAUGAGCAUACUCACAUGGGGCUUACUAUUUUUAACAUUUUUAUUUUCUUUUCAAGAUGAUAUGAACCUGGUUAACUAAGCAAACUAUUUUAAAUAAUUGAAAGGAAAAGGAUAACUACCAAGUUUACCACUUGGCAAGGCGUUCGGUGUUUUUAAGUCCUCCGAACGGGACUCUUCGUUUUCUCAAUCAUCAUCGAAUUUGCUGGAUGGCGUAGUCGGUGGUUCCGGCGGCGCAUACUCUUCAUGUAUAACUAUCUUCUUUCUCCACAUCUGUCUCGGUGCACUUCUCCUUCGUACUCUGCCCAUCCGUCCUUGAUGAUUUUCCUCCUUUGGUUGCGGUUGCGUCGUCUUCUUCUUGUCCUGACCUGCUUAGAGUCUUUAACUAUAUAGUUAGGGUCAGUAAAAUAGCGGCGUACCUUCUCAGAGGGGAAGUACAUGUGGACUUCUCUGGUUCCAAUGUAGAUGAUUGCUUUAACAGUGCUGAGGAACGGUCUUCCAAGGAUGAUGGGUGGAUCGUACUUAUCUUCUCCCAUGUCAAUAACCUUCAAUCUUUCGGAAUGUCUGAUCUGCCAUCUGGAGCUGAAUAUUUAUCGGUUUUAGGGGCAUGGUUCCGAACAGGAGCUGAUAGGUGACUGCGGCCAUUAUGUUGACGCCUGACCCGGUGUCGCAAGGCGUCUUCUGGAAGUUGUAUCUAUUAAUGGAGCACUGGAUGCUUGGCAUACCUAGGUCGUCCUUUUUGGUCAAGAACAGUGACUUAAAUCGAUGAUCUUAACCUCCUUGAAUUGCAGUGACCAUCUUAGCUGACUUGGUCCAUAUUUGCUUGUUCCUGUUCCUCCUGUUGGUCCUCUUCCUUGGUUCAUGUCGGGAUUGCUCUGAGAUUUGUGUAAUCUUGUUCUUGAAGGAAAACAUCU